UCAAAGGACUAAACUGCGAAGUUCUUCCACCCCGCGCCGCCGUUUCCGCCCCGCCGCCGCUUCCUCCCGUCCGCCGUUGCCCGGUGAUGGAGGCGGCCGCCGUCGCUUCCCCCGGCUCCGGGCUGCGCUACCUGCCACCGAUCAACCCCGCCCAGAAGCGUCAGCGGAGCCGGAGCGCGACGGCGGGGGCCUUCGCGACCACGCGGCGGCAGCCUCGCGCUGCUGUCGCUUGCAGGCGGCCCCAUCGCGUUGAGGCGGCGGCGGCGGCGAGGGAUAGCGGCGGAUCCGGGGACUCUUCUCACUGUUCCGGCGGAGUGAGGAGCAGGAAACGCCUCGCGGUGUUCGUGUCCGGCGGCGGCUCCAACUUCCGGUCCAUCCACGAGGCCACCGCCGCGGGCGGCAAGGCGAGCAGCGGGGAUAUGGUCGCGCUCGUCACGGACAAGCCAGGAUGCGGCGGAGCGGAGUACGCGAGGCGCAGCGGCAUACCGGUGGUCCUGUUCCCCAGGUCCAAAUCGGCGCCGGAGGGGGUGCCGACGGCUCAGCUUCUGAAUGCCCUGAGGGAUCUCAGGGUGGACUUCGUUCUGCUCGCUGGUUACCUGAAACUUAUACCCAGUGAGCUAGUCCAGGCAUAUCCCAGAUCCGUACUGAAUAUACAUCCUUCGCUCCUCCCGGCAUUCGGAGGCAAGGGUUAUUAUGGUCUGAAGGUGCAUAAAGCCGUCAUUGCGUCUGGAGCCAGAUAUUCAGGACCAACUGUGCACUUUGUGGAUGAACAGUUCGACACGGGAAGAACUUUAGCCCAAAGGGUUGUGCCUGUGCUAGCCGACGAUACUCCAGAGCAAUUGGCUGCAAGGGUUCUACAUGAGGAGCAUCAUGUUUAUGUUGAGGCAGUUGCUGCCUUGUGCGAGGAUCGAAUCGUGUGGCGAGAAGACGGUGUCCCACUUAUCAGAACUCAGACAAACCCCGAUGCAUACGCCUAAUUGGUGGUGCUACCUUGAGGUCUCCUAGACGCUAACGAAAUUUAUAUACCCCCUGCCAGUUUUCCCCAAGGCAUGGGAGUUAAUUCACCAUGUUUGUCUGACUGGGUGAAAUAACCUGCCUGAUAAUCUGGUCACAGAAACAUAACUUGCACCUUGCACUGUGUUCCGCUCGUUGCGUGGCUUGGCUUUGAAGAUAAUCCGUGCUUUCAUUUGCAAACUCUUCAAUGAGCAAUCCACUAACCGACCCUCGCAUAUCCACAUCUCUCCUUUGUUCAAAUGAUGUUUUCUCUUUGAGAUGUCAAUUUGGUUUGUGCUGCAGUUUGACAUGCUUCUUAUCUGAGAGGGAUGGAGAAGGGGAUGGUGCGAAUCGUAGCCAUUCUUGGAGAGCCCUCUCAGACAGCAAGGGAUAAGAGGAAGAUGAGCGGGUGGCCAUUCGGCCAUGCAAGCUGCGUUACCGACCCUAUCGCAGAUUGUGCAAAUCCCAGGCUCGGUCCCACAAGUCCUUGGAGUUGCUGAGGCGGGGGGAGUGUCACUUGCCAUUAAGCUUGCCAGCCAUGCUCAAAAGUCAAAACCAAGUGUGGAUAUGACAUGCCACUAUAUAUACCUCAUCAUGAUGGUCGCUUGGCACUAGUAUUUGCCUCUCCCACUUGGGUCCUUAAGAAGAGUCGCUGUUUCUAGCGAAGUUUGAUCGUACGGUUUUGCUAAGUCUCAGUCGACUGAGACUUGGUUAUGUAUCAGCCGAUACUAUCUUCCUUUGGUUUUGCAUGGAGAUUUGUGCAAAAAAAGAAAUCUUUUCAGUUUUUCUUUUUUCUUCUUACAUACUAUAUCACUUGACUGAGACUUGAUUAAGUCUCAGUCGAAUGAGACCUAGCCACACCCUUGAUCGUGUGUUUCUUCUUUCGGAAUGUUGGUUUCAUGUGGGUGCUUGGUUC